rnacentral:ncRNA from 2 species
AAUAUAUCAAUUUGAAUAAGUGCUCACUUUGGUGAGGUAAAAGGGAAACCAGUGAAAGUCUGGUACAGCCCCCGCUACUGUAAAAGCUGAUGAAAUUACAAUGCCACUGAGAAAUCGGGAAGGUGUAAGAGUAAGAAGAAGCUUAAGUCAGGAAACCUGCUUAUUUAAACGACACUUG